AAGAACUUGUUUUACUGACACCGAGUUUAGUGUCACUAAAUACAGAGCAAGAAAUUUAUUGACACAAGUUUUUUGUAUUAGCGAAUCUAUGUCACCGUAGUAUCAAAAAAAUAUUGAUGCUUGAACAUCACAUAUAUAACGAGACUAUGGUAUCAAACAAAUAAUGAAAUUUGCAAUUGGCAUUUGAAUUGAAAUUUACAUUCAUCAAUAUGAAGACUAUUACACUGCAAUGAACAAUUUAAAAAUUAUUACAUUGUUUGAAACUUAUUACAUUGUUUACCAACUACAAAUAAUUUAUAAUCUGAUAUAUGGUAACAGCACAAUCUUCCAACACAUGUUUAUUGCUUCGCGGAUUCUUUCUUUCGGUAAUCGAAAUGAAGUCUUCUAUUAUUGUUUCCAUGUUCCAAUUUGACAUUUGCUCUGAUUAUUUAGUUUUGACCCACUACAUGCUUUGGUUUAUUGUAAGUCAUCCUGCACCAUUCAAGACAUGCACAAUAAAAAAACUGAUAAAAUUUACAUGCUGCAAUCUACAUAGUUUCCUAAUGGCAUAUAAAUGCAUGCAAGACAAGCAUAUUAUAUUAACAAUAAAAAUUAUUUUAACCGUUGUCCAAGAAAAAGAGGAGAAAUUAUUAACAACAUCAUGAGAGGAAGUCUAACAAUACAGUCAAACAAACAAAAGAAAACCCAUGCUUAGUUGUAUAACAAGCAUGGAAAGUUCAACACAAACACAAACACAGAGACCAAUGGAGAGUAAUGAAGGAAUUUCUGUGCAACUGUCAGUGGACACACAGAGCAAUGUGUGCAUAUGAGCAGGCACAAACAUGACAUCCAAGUGAAUAAAUUUAAAAUAUUAUAUCUGGCAAUUAAAUCAACACAAACAUGAGAAAGAAUAGAUCCAAUAAGGUAAAUCUAGACAACAAUGAUCAAAAAGCAACAAGACAAAAUUUGAGAAACAAAAGGUGAAAAUAAAAAUACCAGGCAUUUACUCCAGUAGNNNNN
rnacentral:lncRNA from 1 species